GGCCGUGUGGUGGAAUUGGUAGACACAAGGGAUUUAAAAUCCCUCGCUGGUAACAGCGUAUCGGUUCGAGUCCGAUCACGGCUACCA
rnacentral:tRNA from 1 species